UACGGAGGGUGCAAGCGUUAUCCGGAUUCACUGGGUUUAAAGGGUGCGUAGGUGGGUUGGUAAGUCAGUGGUGAAAUCUCCAGGCUUAACUUGGAACUGCCAUUGAUACUAUUAAUCUUGAAUGCCGUGGAGGUCAGCGGAAUGAUGUCAUGUAGCGGUGAAAUGCUUAGAUAUGACAUAGAACACCAAUUGCGAAGGCAGCUGGCUACACGAAUAUUGACACUGAUGCACGAAAGCGUGGGGAGUCAAACAGGAAUUAGACUACCCGGUGUAAGCUCCACGAUCAAGUCCUCUGC
rnacentral:rRNA from 1 species